rnacentral:lncRNA from 1 species
CGAAACACUGAAAUAGGCAAAAAAACAGCAAUUUGGGUUGGGCCUCCGGUUAAUAGGUUAGUCCCAAAAAAAUAUAAAAGUGUAUAAUAAUGCCCAUUAAACAUCUAGAACAGAAUAUAUAAUAGGAUGGAACAAUCAAAAAUUAGAUACGUUGGAGACGUAUCAAGCAUCCCUAAGCUUAAUUCCUGCUCGUCCUCGAGUAGGUAAAUGAUAGAAACAGAAUUUUUGAUGUGGAAUGCUACCUAGCAUAUUCCUUAAUGUAAUUUCUCUAUUGUGGCAUGAAUGUUUAGAUCCGAAAGAUUCAAGAUAAAAGUUUAAUAUUGACAUGAAAAUAAUAAUACUUCAAGCAUACUAAUAAAGCAAUCAUGUCUUCUCAAAAUAACAUGGCCAAAGAAAGUUAUCCCUACAAAAUCAUAUAGUCUGGCUAUGCUCUAUCUUCAUCACACAAAUUAUUUAAUUAUGCACAACCCCGAUGACAAGCCAAGCAAUUGUUUCAUACUUUUGAUGUUCUCAAACUUUUCAAUCUUCACGCAAUACAUGAGCGUGAGCCAUGGAUAUAGCACUAUAGGUGAAAUAGAAUGGUGGUUGUGGAGAAGACAAAAAGGAGAAGAUAGUCUCACAUCAACUAGGCGUAUCAACGGGCUAUGGAGAUGCCCAUUAAUAGAUAUCAAUGUGAGUGAGUAGGGAUUGCCAUGCAACGGAUGCACUAGAGCUAUAAGUGUAUGAAAGCUCAACAAAAGAAACUAAGUGGGUGUGCAUCCAACUUGCUUGCUCACGAAGACCUAGGACAAUUUGAGGUAGCCCAUCAUUGGAAUAUACAAGCCAAGUUCUAUAAUGUAAAAUUCCCACUAGCAUAUGAAAGUGACAACAUAAGAGACUCUCUAUCAAUGAAGAUCAUGGUGCUACUUUGAAGCACAAGUGUGGUAAAAGGAUAGUAACAUUGUCCCUUCUCUCUUUUUCUCUCAUUUUUUAAAAGGAUAGUAACAUUGUCCCUUCUCUCUUUUUCUCUCAUUUUUUAUUUAUUUGGGCCUUUUCUCUUUUUUAUGGACUCUUUUUUUUCUCUUUUUUCCUUUUUUUUCUAUUUUUCGUCCGGAGUCUCAUCCCGACUUGUGGGGGAAUCAUAGUCUCCAUCAUCCUUUUCUCACUUGGGACAAUGCUCUAAUAAUGAUGAUCAUCACACUUUUAUUUACUUAUAACUCAAGUAUUACAACUCAAUACUUCGAAAAAAUAUGACUCUAUGUGAAUGCCUCCGGCGGUGUACCGGGAUAUGCAAUGAAUCAAGAGUGACAUGUAUGAAAGAAUUAUGAAGGUGGCUUUGCCACAAAUACGAUGUCAACUACAUGAUCAUGCAAAGCAAUAUGACAAUGAUGGAGCGCGUCAUAGUAAACGGAACGGUGGUAAGUUGCAUGGCAAUAUAUCUCGGAAUGGCUAUGGAAAUGCCAUGAUAGGUAGGUAUGAUGGCUGUUUUGAGGAAGGUAAUGGUGGGUGUAUGAUACCGGCGAAAGGUGCGCGGUAUUAGAGAGGCUAGCAAUGGUGGAAGGGUGAGACUGCGUAUAAUCCAUAGACUCAACAUUAGUCAUAAAGAACUCACAUCCUUAUUGCAAAAAUCUAUUAGUUAUCGAAACAAAGUACUACGCGCAUGCUCCUAGGGGGAUAGAUUGGUAGGAAAAGAUCAUCGCUCGUCCCCGACCGCCACUCAUAAGGAAGACAAUCAAUAAAUAAAUCAUGCUCCGACUUCAUCACAUAACGGUUCACCAUACGUGCAUGCUACGGGAAUCACAAACUUUAACACAAGUAUUUCUCAAAUUCAUAAUUACUCAACUAGCAUGACUUUAAUAUCAGCAUCUUCAUAUCUCAAAACAAUUACCAAGUAUCAAACUUCUCAUAAUAUUCAAUGCACUCUAUAAGAAAGUUUUUACUAAUCUUGGAUGCCUAUCACUUUAGGACUAAAAUUUUAACCAAAGCAAACUACCAUGCUGUUCUAAAAGACUCUCAAAAUAAUAUAAGUGAAGCAUGAGAGAUCAAUAAUUUCUAUGAAAUAAAACCACCGCCGUGCUCUAAAAGAGUGAAGCACUAGAGCAAAAACUAUAUAGCUCAAAAGAUAUAUGUGAAGCACAUAGAGUAUUCUGACAAAUUCCGAAUCAUGUGUGUCUCUCUCAAAAGGUGUGUACAGCAAGGAUGAUUGUGGUAAACUAAAAAGCAAAGACUCAAAUCAUACAAGACGCUCCAAGCAAAACACAUAUCAUGUGGUGAAUAAAAAUAUAGCCCCAAGUAAAGUUACCGAUAGACGAAGACGAAAGAGGGGAUGCCUUCCGGGGCAUCCCCAAGCUUAGGCUUUUGGUUGUCCUUGGAUUUUACCUUGGGGUGCCUUGGUCAUCCACAAGCAUAGGUUCUUGCCAAUCCUUGUUCCAUAAUCCAUCAAAUCUUUACCCAAAACUUGAAAACUUCACAACACAAAACUUAACAGAAAAUCUCGUGAGCUCCGUUAGCGAAAGAAAAGAAAACACCACUUCAAGGUACUGUAAUGAACUCAUUCUUUAUUUAUAUUGGUGUUAAACCUACUGUAUUCCAACUUCGCUAUGGUUUAUAAGCUCUUUUACUAGCCAUAGAUUCAUCAAAAUAAGCAAACAACGCACGAAAAACAGAAUCUAUCAAAAACAGAACAGUCUGUAGUAAUCUGUAACUAACGCAAACUUCUGGAACUCAGAAAAAUCUACCAAAAUAGGAAGACCUAGAUAAUUUGUUUAUUGAUCUACUACAAUUUGAAUCAGUAUUUUAUCACGUUCUGGUGAUUUUUAACGAUUGUUUUCGUGAACAGAAAGUUUCUGGAAUUUUCAGCAAGAUCAAAUAACUAUAAUCCGAGAAGAUCCUAUAGGUUUAACUUGGCACAAACACUAAUUAAAAAAUUAAAAAAAUCUAACCAGAGGCUAGAUGAAAUAUUUAUUGAAUAAUAGCAAGUAAAAAUAUUGGGUUGUCUCCCAACAAGCGCUUUUCUUUAAAGUCUUUUAGUUAGGCAUUGAUAAUUUUAAUGAUGCUCACAUGAAAGAUAAGAAUUGAAGCGUAAAGAGAGCAUCAUAAAACACGUGACAAACACAUCUAAGUCUAACAUACUUUCUAUGCAUAGGCAUCUUAUAGGAAAACAAAUUAUCAAGGCAAGCAAAUACUAGCAUACGCAAGGAAGAAGUGAGAAACAAUAGCAAUCUCGACAUAACGAGAGGUAAUUUAGUAACAUGAAAAUUUCUCUAACCAUAUUUUCUUCUCUCAUAAUAAUUACAUGUGGGAUCAUAUUCAAAUUCAACAAAAUAGCUAUCACAUAACAUAUUCUCAACACGAUCCACAUGCAUGCGAAGUUGACACUCUUCCAAAAUAGUGGGAUUAACAUUAGCUAAAGUCAUGACCUCUCCAAACCCACUUUUAUCAAAAAAUUCAUAAGAUUGAACAUUCUCCAAAUAUGUGGGAUCUAAAGUUGACACCCAAACCCACUUUCAAUACUAUUGCAAACAUUAUUAUCAAUCUCAUAUUCAACAUGGGGCUUAAAUAAAUUUUCAAGAUCAUAAGAAGAAUCACCCCAAUCAUGAUCAUUGCAACAAGUAGUAGACAUAGCAAAACUAGCAUCCCCAAGCUUAGGGUUUUGCAUAUUAUUAGCACAAUUGACAUCAAGAGAAUUUAUAGUAAAAUCAUUGCAAUCAUGCUUUUUAUUCAAGGAGCUAUCGUGAAUCUCUUCAUAAAUUUCUUCAUCACAAUUUUUAGAUUCACAAAUUUCAAGCAAAACUUCAUAAAGAUAAUAUAGUGCACUCAAAUCACUAGAAAUUGAUUCAUCAUAAUUGGAUCUCUUAAAAAGAUUAGUAAGGGGAUGAGGUUCCAUAAACUUUUAGCAAGCGAAGAUGCAAGCAAAAAGAAGGCACAUGGUAACACAAGAUCGAACGGAAGGAGGGCGAAGAAAACGGCAAAGGUGAAGUGGGGGAGAGGAAAACGAGAGGCAAAUGGCAAAUAAUGUAAUGCAAGGGAUAAGAGUUUGUGAUGGGUACUUGGUAUGUCUUGACUUGUGCGUAGACUCCCCGGCAACGGCGCCAGAAAUCCUUCUUGCUACCUCUUGAGCACUGCGUUGGUUUUCCCUUGAAGAGGAAAGGGUGAUGCAGUAAAGUAGCGUAAGUAUUUCCCUCAGUUUUUGAGAAUCAAGAUAUCAAUCCAGUAGGAGGCCACGCUCAAGUCCCUUGCACCUACGCAAACAAAUAAGAACCUUGCAACCAACGCGAUUAAGGGGUUGUCAAUCCCUUCACGGCCACUUGCAAAAGUGAGAUCUGAUAGAGAUGAUAAGAUAAUAUUUGUGGUAUUUUUAUGAUAAAGACUAAAAGUAAAGAAAGCAAAAUAAACGGCGCCAGAAAUAGCUUGUUGACGGGAGAUUAAUAUGAUGGAAAAUAGACCCGGUGGCCAUAGGUUUCACUAGUGGCUUCUCUCAAGAUAGCAUAAGUAUUGCGGUGGGUGAACAAAUUAUUGUCGAGCAAUUGAUAGAAUUGAGCAUAGUUAUGAGAAUAUCUAGGUAUGAUCAUGUAUAUAGGCAUCACGUCCGUGACAAGUAGACCGACUCCUGCCUGCAUCUACUACUAUUACUCCACACAUCGACCGCUAUCCAGCAUGCAUCUAGAGUAUUAAGUUCAUAAGAACGGAGUAACGCUUUAAGCAAGAUGACAUGAUGUAGAGGGAUAAACUCAUGCAAUAUGAUAUAAACCCCAUCUUUUUAUCUUCGAUGGCAAUAAUGCAAUACGUGUCGUUUCCCCUACUAUCACUGGGAUCAAGCACCGCAAGAUUGAACCCAAAGCUAAGCACUUCUCCCAUUGCAAGAAAGAUCAAUCUAGUAGGCCAAACCAAACUGAUAAUUCGAAGAGACUUGCAAAGAUAACCAAUCAUACAUAAAAGAAUUCAGAGAAGAUUCAAAUAUUGUUCAUAGAUAAUCUUGAUCAUAAACCCACAAUUCAUCGAAUCUCGACAAACGCACCGCAAAAGAAGAUUACAUCGAAUAGAUCUCCAAGAGAAUCGAGGAGAACUUUGUAUUGAGAUCCAAAGAGAGAGAAGAAGUCAUCUAGCUAAUAACUAUGGACCCGAAGGUCUGAGGUAAACUACUCACACAUCAUCGGAGAGGCUAUGGUGUUGAUGUAGAAGCCCUCCGUGAUCGAUGCCCCCUCCGGCAGGACGCCUAAAAAAGGCCCCAAGAUGGGAUCUCACGGGUACAGAAGGUUGCGGCGGUGGAAUUAGGUUUUCGUGGUGCUCUUCGAUGGUUUGGGGGUACGUAGGUAUAUAUAGGAGGAAGAAGUAGGUCAGUGGAGCCACGAGGGGCCCACGAGGGUGGAGGGCGCGCCCCCUCCCUCGUGGCCUCCUCGUCGGUUGCUUGACGUCCACUCCAAGUCCUCUGGAUCACGUUUGUUACAAAAAUCACGUUUCCGAAGGUUUCAUUCCGUUUGGACACCGUUUGAUAUUCUUUUUCUGCGAAACACUGAAAUAGGCAAAAAAACAGCAAUUUAGGCCGGGCCUCCGGUUAAUAGGUUAGUCCCAAAAAUAAUAUAAAAGUGUAUAAUAAAGCCCAUUAAACAUCCAAAACAGAAUAUAUAAUAGCAUGGAACAAUCAAAAAUUAUAGAUAUGUUGGAGACGUAUCAAAGGUGCGCGAGGAUCUGGAACUCCUUCUCGGCAGCCCGGCCGAUGGAGAAGGGGCUGGCGGCGUGGACUUUGCUGACAACGGUCAUCACCACCGCGUGCUGCUGCAGGAGGAAGACUUGCUGCUCCAGGGACGGCGUGGAUGCGAUCACCUUGUGGCUGGAUCUGGGCCGACGCCCGUGGUCG